UCUGGUGCUCCUUUGAAUGGGAUGUUCUUGAUGUGAUUUCAUGUGUGAUGGUGAAGGGUACCUCACAGUGGAGCAUGUCACCCCUUCCCACCCAGGGUGAUUCUGGUCCCAGUAUAUCUGGGUUUGUGUUUGUGUGUGACAGUCCUUGUGAGAAGGUCUGUGUAAACUCAGCUCUCUGCAUGGGUCUGUGCAAAUUCGUGCUCCUAAUCUGAAAUCAGAAGGGAUGUAGGCUGGGGACAGGGCUCAGGGAUCUGGCUGUCCAACCCCUCCAGGGAGGUCCCCCUAUGGGUGUUUCCAGCCAGAAGUUUCCAGCUCCUGGCUGACUGGAGACGGAGCUUAGACUGUAGAAAGACCCUGAGGGGAGAGCAGCAGGGUCUGGGAACUGAAAGGCGAAAGGCACAACUCCCUCCCCUCUCCCUUCUUUCUUCCCUCCCUCCCUCGCUUCCUUCCUCCCUCCCUCCCUCCCUCCCUCCCUCCCUCCCUCCCUCCCUUCCUUCCUUCCUUCCUUCCUUCCACUUCUGUUCUUCCUCUCUUCCUCCCUUUUUCUUUGGAAGCAGGGAGGAAGGAGUAGAGGAGGCUUCUCUGGCCAAGGGGGGUCAGAAGCUCUGGCUCUUUCCUCUGGAGGAGCUGGCGUCCCCUCUGCUGGGCUGGGAGAGGAGGUAAUUAAUGACAAGGAGGCCAGGAGGGGUGAGUGCUCAAGGCUAAUGUUGGUAUUAAUCAGGAGCUGGUCCCCAGCGAGGGAUAGGAUUCAGCUGGGGCGCUGUGUGUGUGUUGGGGGUGAUGGGGGACCAGGAGCUUCUGCCUCAUCCCAUCAGCCUCCCUCCCUCCCCAGUACCCCCACCACAUCCAGCCCUCUUGCUCUUGCCCCUUGCCCUCAUUUUUUUUUUCUGGAGGUCCCUCCUGCUGUGUCCUUCAACCUCCUGCUGAGGGAGGGGCGGAUCCCUCCUCAAAUCCAAGUCCAAGCCGCCCCCUCCCCACAAACCCCUCACCAGCCCUUCCUGCGGGCAGGCACAUUAGGUGAUUCCUGAGGCUGUCAGCCCUGCUAAUUGCCUCUCAACCUUUCCCUCAUCACCAAGGCGGCCCCCCACGAACUCCAUUAGCCCCCCCUCUCUCCCCUGAUAGCCCCUAAAUCAGCCCCAAUUAUUCACAGGAGGGGGAGGUCUGAGCUGAGCUGUGAUUACAGCUACAGUGGGGGGUGGUAGUGAGGGAUGGGAGUUUGAGUGCCAGGCAGGCUGGUGGGCAGGCCAAAGGCAGAGCUGGGAGGGGGAGAGGAGAGUACGGAUUGGGACCCUGUAGGCAGAUUCAGACCAGGGACCACACAGGGGCAGGGACCUGAGAG
rnacentral:lncRNA from 1 species